GAAUUACAGCAUGAAUUCCGUGAAGCUUCUGGAUAUUGGCACUUUCCAAGAGUGAUGGAGAUGUGGGUCCCCUGGCAGAGAAAAAGCUCAGGCAAUUCUUGGGAACUAACAUAAAGCAGCAGAACCUGAAAAAGCCAGUCAUUCACUGGAAGGGGCCAGAUGGAAUGGGUCCUGUGGAAAGAUGAUGAUGUGUGCCAUCUGCUGGGACCCAGUGCUAGAACUUUCUGAGGUAAAGCUUGGUGGCCACAGAAACUGCCUGAAACUGCACCUUAUUAAAUCAAAGGACUGGGAAAAGAUUCUCUUGGAGACCUGUGUGCUGUUGCCUGCAUCUUCCUGGGAGCCUCUUUGCCUACGUGGGGAUAGAGGAAAUUCAGAAACCCACCACAAAGGUCUCUUCAUGAAACACAGGCCCCAAAGCAAUUCUCAACAGAGGAAAGACUUUGCUCUAGAGGCUGUCUUAUUCUUUUACAUCUGGCAGUGAAUAUUUUGGCUUGUACCAAAAGCAUUAAUCUUCUUUGCGCAACAUGGAUCAUCAGCUGAGAAAGGAAUUUACGGUAGCCUCUGGAGAAAGUUUUCUGUCAGUGACAAAAGGCAAAGCAGCUGGACAGACAGACUGUGCUAAGACCGUUUGCUAAGCUCUAACUUAACACUGUCUCCAUGACAGCCUUAGCUGGAGCAAAUGUUCAGGUCCUACUGCUCAAACAACAGUGAGCAAAGGCAGAAUGAAAUAACACAAUAAAAGCACCACAACUGCAAACCUGCAUUUUACUUCCUGUAAAAACUUAUACAAACCCUAUUUUGAAUUCUGUACUUGAUAAAGCUGGGACAGCUGUUCCAUCUGCAAAAUAAUUGGAUCGAAUAGGAAGAAGGAAAUUUUGCUGGAGUGAAAACUAGACUUGCAUUUUAGAGGCUGAAAAAUCUAAGUACCUCAAAAUACUGUAUUUAUCUCAGUUUCAAAACACAAUGAAUCAAACUGCUGACUUCAAUGCAUGCUUAUGCCACAGAAGGUACAGAAUUUCUACAUUAAUGAGGAAACUGGACUUUCAUAGAAGUAUAUAAAGAUGAGUUUAUACAGCCUACUGAGUCAGUGAUGCCUAACAUGAGAUAUAACACUGCUUACAAUAGUGAGACAAAUAUGUGAAACUUUGUGUUGGAUGGAGGAAUGAUCAAUGAGAAAGAAUGAUUGAGAGUCCACAUUAAAAUUUCAAAUCACCCCAGUUUAGAAAAAAGUUCAGGAAAUGUUCUGUCAAAGAGAAAAUCAGAAUGAGCACCCAUUACAUGGCAGAUAAACCAUCUCAAAGCAGGCAUUUUACUUAUUAUAACCCAUAUAGAGUUACAUCGAUCCCAUUAAAGUAUUUCAGAUAAUGUCUGCUGCUUCAUACACUGUACUGGUAUUUUAUUUUAGAGCAGCAGCUAUAUCCACUGGUUUGCAGGCAAGCUUAUUUUCCAGCUGCUGGUGGAAAAUAUUUCUGCUGAACCUCCUGGUGUUUUUCCAGGCAUCUUAUUGCUAAGGCUAAGCCAAAUGCAUACUAUCUACUACUUUGCCUUGCAUUUAGCUGAGCCAUUAAACAUAGUAUUACACUGUACUCUUGCAAACUUCACAGACUGAAGGAUUUAAGAUUAAAUGAUAGGCUUCUCUAGAAGCCUGAGAAAAUUCUUGUAGACACAUUGAAAACACUUAUUUUCAACAGUCAACUAAGUAUCAAGGCUACUUAAUGAUCAAAUCAAGAUCUGCAGACACCACAGCCUGCACACUCUUUCUUAGAAGAUUUUAAUCUUUGUCCUUGUCCUUCAGUGGAGUUUCUUUCCAGAGCAUCUUGGCUUAAUAAAUGCCUUUGAAGAAGGCUUCAGCACAAAUAAAAGAGUACUUGUGCAGCAAUCUUGAGUUCUUAUCAGCUGUAUAGUGAUCAGGUGAAGGAAUAAUUUAUUUCAAUCAGCAACACCUGUUUUUAUAAUUGCUCAAGUGAUUAUAAUUCAAUAAUAAAAAGCCAAUUUAACUAUCUUUACUCAGAUAUUAACCUCUGAUAUACAGCAUUAGAAUGAAAUUGCCAUUGGUUAAAUUCCCUUAACAAUUGCUUUCACACAUUUAUCCUAUUUUGGCCUGGUUUGUUUCAUAUUUCUCUUGUUAUUUGAGUUUUCUUUUAAGAAUAAAUAUGUUCACACAUUCUCAGUUGGAAGACCCCCACUGCUAUCCAUUUUCAACCAUAGCUAAAUAUGCUUAAUCUCUAAAAAGGUUCAAUUAUUUUAAUUUUUCUUCAUAGCUAUGUUUUUAUGAUUUGCCAUUUUAAGACCAGCAUUACAUUUUAGACACAUAAUUCAACUGGUGAUUUCCUAUAAUACCUAGAUCCAUUUCUGCAAACCCCUGCUUAGCCAGGUAUUCUCCCUCCAUUUUUUAAUGCUCUUUUCCUUCCCAAUCAAUAUAAAUACUUGUGGUUGUUCUAAAUGAACUGCAGCCAGUCUUUUUUUCUAGGCAUUCCUCCAUUUUGUCAAGAUUGUUUGUACUCCAAGCCUGCAUUUCUCCGUUUUUGCAGUAAUUCCCAGUUUUGUGUUGUGUGUUUUUUAAGUUUGCAGGCUCUCCAGUUCAUCUUCUAUAUCUCUAAUAAAAAUAUUGAAUACUAAGUGGUCCAAGAGAUAUUUACUGCAGAUCUGUUCUUAGCACAGCUCAUCAUUCUACCUACAAAAUUAAUAUUAACUACUUAACCACUAAGAAACCACAUUUCCUUCUUUUUCUUUUUGAGUGAGAUUUUUAUUCUGAAAACAUAAGCAAAGGUAAGUCUGUGAUUUCAUGCCACCACCACCUUCUCCCUUCAAUAAUUAAAUGAGGAAUCUGUAUUUUUCUGUUUCUGGCAUUUCCCUCUCUUCUUUGGGUUCUCAAAAAUAACAAAAAAUCUUUUUCUGACAGAUGCUUGACCCAGAGUAGUCCAGAGUGGAUGCUUUUUGGCUUAGCUGAUCUGAAAAUUAUCAAAUAUAUUCUGUCAAACCUGCUCUAGUAACCUGUUUUAGUCUUUGUAUCAGAUCUGUUAGCCAUUGGCUUGCAGCUGUGAAGAGUAAAGAAAAAAAAAGACACAAGAAAUGAAACAUGCUGCUGUUCUCAGUCUCAUUCACCCAUUUCAUUAAGUAUUCUCCAGCAAUCAGAGUGAAACUUUUCUGAUCAUCUGCUUUGCACUGAUAUAGUUCACAGAAAAUAUAACAAGACAUUACUCAUAUCUCACAUAGGCAUUUCUAAUUUUAACUGUAUGAACUUAAACUAUUUUUUUUAUGGUUACUCUUACUAACCUGACCUGGCUUCUACCUUCUCUAUGCUCUUUUUUUUUUUUAAAUCUCUUUAACUUUUGUUCUCAACACGAUGGAGAAUGAAGUCACUCAGCUUGGCCACCCAGUACUGAAAGGCAUACGGUGACAGCGUAUUUUCCUCCUUUUGUUUCGUGAUGAGAGACACCUUCAUGCUGACAAUGCAUCCAACCAGGAUUAGUGUUGUGUGAUCCUACAGGAAAAUCACAGUGUAGCCGAUUUGCUCUGGCACCAGCCGGGAGGGGAGGAGCCCGGCCCCGGGGACAUCCGCAUCUCCAUGGUGCCACCUUCUGACUGGCACGCAGGAGAGCCGGCUCCAGGGCUGGAGUAUCCAUGCUAGGGAAGGGGAUCGGCCCCUUGGGAGCACGUCGGGCUGAGGAUGGGGAGAUGUGGGUGUGAGGGUUAAAAAGGGAGCCCUUGGGAGCACGAUCUGGCAUGCAUGCAGUGUUCUGUGUGCUGCAAACAGAACAAUCUGAGGGGUCUUCCAGCCUACUGGGCUCUAAGGCUCAAGCACUCUGCAAGUGCUGGUUGUCUAGUUUUUGUCGUGUUUGAAUUACCAGAAAUGAAAGAACUAUCUGGAAAGUGAAUAUUUUAAAAUAUUUUAAUUUUUUUUUCACAGGGGAAAAAAAAAAGCCCACCUCUUUUCAUAUCAGUUCCAGGUUAAUUUACAGUAUUAUGACAGCAGGACUAAUAGACUAAAUUAUCACUAAUAGUUUUAUUUUUAAUGGGUGGAGAAAUGGUAGAGUUGAUAUUGAAGACUGUCCCAGUGACUUACCACAGCUCCCAAGCACCUUAUACAGAGAUGAAAGCAGACACACCUCACUCUUUCAUCAGUAUGAAAUGUAUGUCUUGUGCUCUUGGCUUAAUUUCUUUGUCCCUUUUCUCUUUUUAUUUCCAUUUAUUUAACCUUACUUAUAAGUCCACAGGAGACUGCAGACCUGGGAUGUAUAUUACACACUGACUCAAAUCCUUCCUUGGUACAUGAGUCCUAGGAAGGGAAAUACCACAAAUACCUACUGACACAGGUAUUGGAAACUAGGAGAGUCUAUUAAUUUUUCUUACAUGGUGGAGUGCUCCUCUACAUACCUGACCAAAUGGGACUCAGAAAUAGGGCCCUGCCCAUUAAUGGGUUCUCUUGCUUAUUGAUGACUCAAAACUUAAAGGCAGCUAUGCUGAAGAUGUAUAAGGAAAAUAUAACCUGUCUCAGUCUACCUUGACAUCUAAUACUCCUCAAAUGUUAGAGUUACUGGACUAACUUUAGGAAAAAACAUUAGGGUAUUAUACCUCUAUCACGUCUAAUGUUUUGCUGAGAAGCUUAAAAAUAAUUGAAAGUAUAAAAAUGAACAGAUAUGUCCAUAAGAUAGCAUGGGGAAAAGAAUUUCAUGGAAGUUACUUUUCAGAGAAACUGUUCCUCUUCAUAGUGGGGCUUUCUUAACUCUUCUGAAAUGAAUUAAAGAAUAUUUGAAUUACAAAGCUGAAUGAAUUAAAGAAAAAUUCCUCACAUUGUAUGCUGUAAAAGAUAAUUUUCCUCUGACCUUUCUCUUAUAAAGUUUAGUUACAAAUGGCUUGCUUUGAGAAGCUGAUACCUGAUACUCUAGAUGUCAAUUGUUUUGUUUUGUUCUGACGUUUCAAAUAAUUGUGUAUUGUUGCCCAUUCUGAGGGUGUAAUGCUUACAAGGCACAAGGCUUAAAGAAACCAGGGGGCUUGGGCUCUCUGUCCAACAAAACAGUGCUGCAGGGAGAGCAGCCUAGCAGUAAGCAGCCUUGGCAAAUUCUAGGAAAUUAAAGCUAUUCAAGAGGCUUUUCUUUUUGUUCGUUUGCCUAGUUUUAAAAUGAUAUUCUCAGUGGAGAUAUCUGGAACACUGCCUGUUUGCAUCUACAUGAGGCAAAAAUUCUGUCAUAUUAUUUCAACAGAGCUGAAUCUGAUUGAACAGGAAAGGUACUCUUUGGUGUAUGACUUAAUGAAAUAUAUUUGUUUUUUGUGGCUAUGUCUAUAUUGUCUUCCCCUCCAUAGAGAGCUGUCCAAAGCUGCCAUUUUGGGAAUAUUGCAACACAUUAUUUUGGAGCACAUAAAGAAUAUAUUUUCUAUCCUAUGGCAUUGUGGGGUUUUUUUUGUUGUUUUCUCAAGGUCAGUUGCUAACUUUGCUCAGUAAUAGAUCAGUGAAAGUGCAUGAACAGGGUGCAUAGCAAAACAUUCCAGCACAGUUUACUUACAUAAGGUUUCUUUGUCCUACAGUCAAUCUGUAAAGAAAGAGAAUAUGGCUCAUUAUGAAGGUAAAUAGAGAUGAUUUCGUGGUUCCCAAAAAUAUGAUUUUUACAAUGCGUGUUUUUUUUCUUGAAGAGAGUGCCAAGGUCUUCGGCAAAAAUACAUUUGUAAGCUUCUCUUAAAGAAUAAGUAAAGAAAUCAACCCAGAAAUACUGUUGUUUCUGUUCAAAAACUUGCUGAGUUUUCCAGGUCACAGAAGACCAUUUCCUGUCAGUACAAGAAGAGAGCAAAACCACUGAUUUGUUUAUGGGUGAAUAAAAAUACUAUGGCUGUAAAGUGCUUUGCUUGUGGCGAGGGGGAGAAUGGGGGAAGUCCAGGAGUUGCUGGGGAUUUUUUCUCCUUCUGAAAUAAAAUCAUGGUACUUAUGUUCUUGUUUCACCAGCAAGUAGCUGCCUUUAGUAGACCUUCAGGUUUUGGAAUAAAAUCCUGCUUUAAUAACUGUUACUUGUCCACAGUAACAAAGCCCGUUCCAGAAGCAAUUAUUUAUAACCAGACUUAGACUUCAUUUGCUGAGGACUGAGCUGUCUCUUUGACUUCCCUAACGAGAGAAAACAUAAAAUCUUGAGCUUCAGAUUCCUUCACAUGCAGAUUAGGGGACAAUUGUCACCUUUGGGAUUUGCAGAUGGCUCCUGGGAAAGACCAAGUGCUUUGGUUUUAGGAAGCUGCGUUUCCCGGUUUUAAGAAGCUUCACAGUUUUCAUCUGUUGAUGGAGGGAGAGUAGAAAUCAGCUGGCUGUAUGGGUAUGCCUGGAACCUUUCCUUUUCCCAUCACAUAUAGGAUACUGGUUUAGUUGUGUACAUUUUGGAAGGACUAGACCUGCUUGAUAAUAUGUCCCUGUAAAAAUCAAAGUAAAAUAUACUGGUCCUAAAUAGGGCAUUGAUAUAGCAAUUGUAAUCUGAAAUAAGACAUCAGUCUGAGUCAGUUUGUGAGGUUUUGUGCAUGAAUUAAAAAGAAACAAAAAAAGCUGAGAUCCAGGAAUGAUUAAUGGAAGUUAAUCCAGAAAUGUUGCCUUGCAGCAUUCGAAGCAAGAAGAGAGGACUGAUUCAGCCUCUGCAGUUUUGUAUGCAAAUUGCUCUUGCAAAGGAAGGGAGAUUGCUUUUGACAACUUGACUCUAGCAGUGCUGCAAGGCACCUAGAAUGGUCCUACUUUCUAUUUCCUUAUAUUCCUUGAGGUGUUGAUAAUGAAAGACUCAUGCCCAAACUGAAUGCAGCUCAUGUUGACAGAGACAGCAAAUACACAUGGUAGCUUUCAAAUUUCUCUGUCAAAUCGUUUGACUUUUUUUCAUGCCUUUUCCAUAGGGCAAACUGUGAAACAACAUAUAAUUUCUGUCACCUGAGAUUUCAGCAGUGAGGUUACAAAAAAUGUGCAAGUCUCCAGAAAAACAUUAAAAAAAUGGUGUUUGAAUGAUCUUUGAACUCUCUUUAAGCUUCAAAGGAACUGCCACACUUUCUCUGUAACCUCAGUAAUUGCUGAUUAAAAAAAAUAAAAAAGCAGAUUUGAGAAAGAAAUCAUGCAAUCUAGAAACAUACUUUCCAUCUGUGUAUUGCGGCUGAAAUCCAAAAUAGGCCAGCUGGUCAUAGCACAGCUCACAUAUUCACAGUAUCUGUCCUCUGAAUAAGUCAUUUCAUCAUAAACAGUGGAAAGUAAAAAGCAGAGUCUUAGCUUCUCUGAUUUUUUCCCCCUCUAUUUGACACUCAAAGGACUGGCAGAUACUAAAAGAUUCCUCUCUGAUGUUAAAUUUGAUAUUGUCAUUGCAUUUUAUUUGCUGCUCAAAUAUGUCUUUUUAAAACUGUGUGAUCCAGGAUGUGGAGUGGAAUGUUUGUUGUGGCAAAUGCCUCUCUUCAUUGGAGCAGUUUGGUCUGGCACUGCUCCCAGUUGCUGUAGAUUUAGCAAGUAAGUUGUGCACAAAUCCUUGAUUUUUGUUCUUGCUUUUUGUGGCACUCUUCAUCUUAAGAACUCCUGCAGUUUUUGGAACUAGGAUGUAGUGUCUUUCAGUACCUACAUUUUAUAUCUAAUCAACAGGAACUGAUCCUAGCAAACUAGAAAAUCCUCCUUAAGCAAUGGGAAAUCUCUCCUUUAUUUCCCUCCUCAUUAUUGAUUUUGCUAUGGGGAGCAGACACUGUGCUCAGGUGUUGCAACCUUCCCUGCUCCUUCCCUGGGCUGGGAUGGUUUGAACCGGUGAUUUUCACUCUGUGCUGAAGGCUUUUAGAUAAAAAAAUAGAGAUGAUGUGUCAGGUGGGGGAGGAGGGAUGAAAGGUAAAAACUGUUGUAGUACUGCAGGAUCAUAAAAGGGAAGUUAGUCACAGUAGUUUUUUGAAGAGAUCUAAAUCAGUUUUGACCAGACACAAUGGAUAGAGAGUCAGUGACCAAGCUCUAUCUGAAAUAUAACCAGUCAAGGAAAAUUACGCCUGAACUUAGAUUCUGAUGCAUAACCAUUUUUUCUGAUUUUACAUUCUUCAAGUGUGAAUCAUCUGGACAUACUGUGUUUAAAGUGCUUUCUCUACCUAAUGGCCAAACUUUUGGCUACUUCAGUGACGAAAAGCAUGAAGCUGCAGUCUGCAGCAAAUGGAUAUUAGGUUGGGAGUGGGAACAUAUGCAAAAGAAUGCCUACUUUCACAAAAGUAAUCAAACCUUACUGCAUGUAUAGUGCACUUUCCAUGCACCCAUACUACAGCUCCAUGCCUAAAUAACUACAGGCACAGCCUUACCCUGGGCUCUCAGAAGAACACUAUUAUGCUUUGUAAUUGCACCUGUGUGUUUAUAGGAUUCCUUCUGCUCAUUAAAAAUGGUGUUCACUCUAAUUGUAUGGCCUUUUCUGUACUCUAUAAAGGACAUCAACUUGUUCCAUUAACUUUUUUUUCCCUUUUAAUAAGAGAAUGUCUCCUUCAGUGAUUAAUUGCAAAAAUGCAUUUAUUUGAUGCAGAUUUACUGGCAUUACAGAAUCACUUAGGAAGAGCAGAACCUCUGGAGGUCUCUAGUCCAAUAUCCAACUUUAGCAGGACUGUCUCCAAAAAUAGAGCAGGUUGUUUAGGGCCUUGUCUAGUGAGUAUUGGAAUAUCUCCAAGGAUUAGGGUUCUGCAUCCUUUCUAGGCUACUUGAUCCUGUGCUUGACUCUUCUCACCAUGCAGACUUUUUUUUCUUAAAUCUACUUGAGAUUUCCCUUGUUGCAACUGGUGUCCAUUGCUUUUUGUCUCAUUACUAUGCAUCUUCAAAAAGAGUCUGUUUUCUCUAUAACAACCCAUUACUUAUUUCUGCUGCAAUUGUUUACAGAGCUGCAUGAAUGGCUGCUGAAGAGAGACAGAUACUCUGAAAAGCUGUCAGCCUGAAGUAAAUAAAAUCAGAACCUGAUGGGCAGAGGCUUCUGCAGGUCAAGAAAGAGGUCCAGCUGGUCUGAGCAGCCAAAUGAAGUGCUGAUGGUCUUACCUGGGAAUCCAAAAAUAAGGGUGGUAUAACUACCAAAAUGCUUCUCUAUGGCUCUGCUUGCUCACAAUUAGACAAAAUAUCCCCUAGUACUUGUUGUGUGAGAAUUGUCUCACUAGAGCACAUAGUAUUUUUUCCAAAAGGUAGCAAAUGGUAGCUUGGAAAAACUUGGUCCUUAAUGAACCCUCAAGGCUCGUUAUGAACCUUCAUAAUGAAGGUCUUACUGGGAGGCUAGAAGGGCUCCUUCUCCUCUGUGUGGUUUUGGGUGGGUUUUUCCUUAGUGAAA